rnacentral:lncRNA from 1 species
AAAAAAAAAAGAAAAGGACUUGGGAGGUUUCGAAACGCCAAGUGAAGUCAAGCGACGAAUGUCAGAGGCUGAGUUUUGAUUGGUUCUAGAUAAUUCAACAAUCACGGGCAGGACACAAACAGAAGCUAAGAUCGGAUUUAGCAGACUAAGAGAAGGAGGAAGGAGAAGAAUGGGGGAGCAGCGGAAAGCUUACCGGUUAACAACGACUCCGGCGUGGAGGAGCAAGCACCUCUCGGAAGCUACACUUCUUCAGUAACUCGGAUGGGUCAGUAUUGGGCCUGUGCACUAUUUCUGAUCUGGCCCAUAAUGAGUUAAUACCAAUGGGCCAGGAAAGCUUGGGACUGUUGAGGAAACAUGUUAUAGACUCUGGGCCCUGUUAGUUUGGUCAUCGAUGUUUAAUGCUACGUCCAGCUAGAUUACCCAGAUGAAUUUUUAAAAACUCAUCUCAAAUUCUCACCCAAAUGAAAGUGAGUGUUGAUGGUGCAGAUGUAUCUAGUUCAGUCCAAAAUAAUAAAUGACAAAAAUGACCUUUUAAAAGCAAAAUAUUAUUUUCAAACCCUAAACUCUAUUUUUUUGCAUAUACAUUUUUCUGCUAUAACAAAAAAAUGCAUUUUCUCGCAAAAACUGAAAAACACACUUUCCCGCCAAAACCGCAAGAUGCGUUUUUCCGCAAAAAAAUGUAAAACACACAUUUCCGUAAAAACACAUUUUUCGGCCAAACCAGUAAAAUCGCACUUUUAGACCAAAACCGAAAAUCGCAUUUUCCCGUCAAAACAAAAAAAAACGCAUUAGCCUGCCAAAACCCAAAAAACGCAUUUUCCCGCCAAACUCCAAAAAGCAUUUUCCAGCCAAAACCGCAAAAAGCAUUUUCUCGCCAAAACCGGAAAACACACAAUUUUCCCGCCAAAACCGGAAAACACAAUUUUCCCGCCAAAACCGGAAAACACAAUUUUUCCGCCAAAACCGGAAAAAAAAGCAUUUUCCCGCCAAAACUAGAAAACAAAAUUUUCCCGCCAAAACUGGAAAACGAAAUUUUUCCGCCAAAACCGGAAAAGCGCAUUUUCCCGCCAAAACUGGAAAAUAGAAUUUUCCCGCCAAAAACGGAAAACACAAUUUUCCCGCCAAAAACGGAAAACACAAUUUUCCCGCCAAAAGCUCCUUCAGGCAAAUACAAAUCAACCCAAGAAGCUUCCUUAACACAACCAACACCACUCUUCUCCUUGUCGUCUUUCUUAGGAUUCCCCUCCACAACCGAAGACAUUCCAGCUACCAAUCUAUGGUUCCAGCCAACACCAAGAACCUUCUCAUGAUGAAAGUCCGUCCCUUUACUCCACACUUGGUAGCUAUGACUCCAUAGAGGAUACUUAAGCAAAGGGUUGAUGUAAUGCCGUGUAGUAGUAACGGGUUUGGACAAGUAUAUAUGUUGUUGUUGAGAGUGGAAAACAUAACUCGAAGAUGGAGUUGCCGACACGGAUGACUUCAACAACCGCCGUGAAACGCGGGUCAGGCGAAAAAACGCCAUCUUUGUGAGUGAGUGAGUGAGGUUUUGCCUGCAAGAAAAAAAAAAAGAAAAGGACUUGGGAGGUUUCGAAACGCCAAGUGAAGUCAAGCGACGAAUGUCAGAGGCUGAGUUUUGAUUGGUUCUAGAUAAUUCAACAAUCACGGGCAGGACACAAACAGAAGCUAAGAUCGGAUUUAGCAGACUAAGAGAAGGAGGAAGGAGAAGAAUGGGGGAGCAGCGGAAAGCUUACCGGUUAACAACGACUCCGGCGUG